GCUUGGUGGGGAUAAUGAGUCUGAUGCUACUAUUGACAAUGCAUUGGCCUACAACAGCAAUCUCAUGCUCCAUGUGCUAAAUGGUUCUGGGCCGCCAAGCCAACCAAAGAUCCCCAUUAACACUUAUAUCCGUGAGUUGUUCAAUGAAGAUCUUCAUUCUGGUGUUAAUUCUGAGAAGAACUGGGGGAUAUCCUUUCCGAAUGGGACAUUGGUGUAUUCUCUAGAUUUUGUAACGGUAAAUGAGGUUAGUGCUGAAU
rnacentral:misc_RNA from 1 species